CGGACUGAGUACAGCGGCGGACGGGUGAGUAACGCGUAGGAAUCUACCCGGUAGUGGGGGACAACAUGGGGAAACUCAUGCUAAUACCGCAUACGCCCUAUGGGGGAAAGCGGGGGACCUUCGGGCCUCGCGCUAUCGGAAGAGCCUGCGUUGGAUUAGCUUGUUGGUGAGGUAAAGGCUCACCAAGGCGACGAUCCAUAGCUGGUCUGAGAGGAUGAUCAGCCACACUGGGACUGAGACACGGCCCAGACUCCUACGGGAGGCAGCAGUGGGGAAUAUUGCGCAAUGGGCGGAAGCCUGACGCAGCCAUGCCGCGUGUGUGAAGAAGGCCUUCGGGUUGUAAAGCACUUUCAAUUGGGAAGAAAGGUUGCCGGUUAAUACCCGGUAGCUGUGACAUUACCUUUAGAAGAAGCACCGGCUAACUCCGUGCCAGCAGCCGCGGUAAUACGGAGGGUGCGAGCGUUAAUCGGAAUUACUGGGCGUAAAGCGCGCGUAGGCGGUUUGUUAAGUUGGAUGUGAAAGCCCCGGGCUCAACCUGGGAAUUGCACCCGAUACUGGCCGACUAGAGUACGAGAGAGGGAGGUAGAAUUCCACGUGUAGCGGUGAAAUGCGUAGAUAUGUGGAGGAAUACCGGUGGCGAAGGCGGCCUCCUGGCUCGAUACUGACGCUGAGGUGCGAAA
rnacentral:rRNA from 1 species